CUCUCUGUUUCACCUAGAGAAGUUCUUUUCUUCAGUUAUGUAGUAGUCAGUGUUUAAAUUCUUAUUUUUGUUCAAGUAUGCCUGUGUCUUCCAAUUAAGCAAUAUGGUUACCUAGAGUGUAUGGAUUUCUAAGAAAGAACAGUUCCGAGUUUCCUUUUGAAUAUCCUACAUAGUCAUUUGAAGUUGGUGUCUGAAUGAGAAUCAAGUUUAAUAGUUUUGAAGGAUUCCAAGUAAUCAUGUUGUCAAAAUCUCCUUGCUUUAGGUGUGAUAUAUGGGAUAAUGUGGUAACUGCCUUUAGAUUAAUAUAAGAGAACUAGUAUAAGUUCUCUAAUCUUAAAAUAUAUAAUGAGCAGGUUAAUAAUUUAGUUCAAAUAAACACUUGAUUAAGAGGAGAUGGGAUUCCAUAUUUCAAUUUCCAGAGAAAUUAUUGUUUUGUUUGGUGUGGUGUUGAAUUGGCAUUUGAAUGAGCUCACGUGUUUCCUGGUUUCUAUUUAAUCUAGUGGCUUAAGGGAUCAAUUAGAUCUUUCUUUUAACUACGACUCAUCUCCAAGUAUCGAUCCUAUCCGAGUAAUGUAAUCUUAAUAUUGUUCGAACAUGUUCUUUCCUCUAAUUUGCUGUUGGAUGACAUUUUUGAAAUACCUUUGGUCUUUAAAACUUGGAGGGAUUAGUGGUAAGCUGAACUUCAUUUUGUUCUGACUUUAGUUGUAAUCUUUGAGAUUGUUAUAGAUCAAAAUUGUUGUAUGAAAAACCAUUACUUAAAAUCUAGAACUUAAGGCUAAUAACACCUUGUCUUUUGGGGUGGAAUGGAAGAUAAACCAAUGCUGUUAGAACUGAAUUAGUUGUAUUGGUAGUGAUUCUUUCUAAAAUGACUUGUUAAAGGAGAUGACUUGUGGCACAAUUAAAGAAGAGUGAAAAAAGGGGUCCUAACUUGAACUUGGCAUGAUUACCUCUUUUAACUCUCUAAAAUUUGUAUAACUCCUGGUGAUAUAGGCUAAUGUAAAACCUUGCUUUUCUCCAAUGAUGUUAUUAUCUGAUGAUUGCAUACAAUUUCUGUUAAGCAUUGAAUUCUGUUCUAUCAUUCUUUUCCUGUUGUUAUGCUGGGUUAAAGUCAAGGCAAGCUUUUGGUUUGGUUUAGCCUCCUCUGAUAGCCUACCAUGCCUAAGGUUCUAGAAACCUUUGGAUCUUGUUGUAGCAUUGGAAACAUGGAUGGUGGGAGUUCACAUCCAUAACCUCCUCGACUUGCUACCUUGGAUACUAUACUUGAUGAGCUUACUACCAUGGUUUGUUGAUUGCUGCUGAAUGAAAAAGAACAAAUGCAACACUUGAUAAGCUUGCUGCACUUGUGAAGCCCUGCAAAGGGCUGUACUUGGAUUAGCUUGCUGCUACUGGUUGCUACUCGUUGUUCCUCAUAGCUGUGACGUUGCGAUAAUCACUGGGUUACUUCAUUCGAACUGCUAUGGUUUCAAAUCCAUGAUAUUGUCACUGGGUUAUGUUCAAAAUGCGUAGCGAGGGAUAUUGGAAAUUUCUUGGAGGAGUUUGUCUGCGAUGAUUCCAAAAACUACGAUCUGAUUUGGUGGGACUAUAUGCGUGUUAGGGUUAGAAUGGAUGUUCGGCUACUAUUGAAACGCAAGAUGCAAGUUAAGGUUCCGAUGGGGAUUCGAUUACACUGUCCAUUAAGUAUGAGUGUCUUGGCAUCUUCUGCCUGUUUUGUGGUUUAAUUGGCCAUUCUGAUAAAUGCGUCGAGGUUUGUAUCGCAUAUCUGGUAUAACUCGUGAACAAUAUUUUUUUGCUUCAUGGCUAAGAGCGGACACGAUAGCAUCACGUCCCAUGGCAGGAUCACAGUGGAUUAGACCUGGCACCGACAAUCAGGAACAUGACAUCCCUAAUGCGGCAAGUCCUAUUUUCUGACAUGGAAUGGCCACCCCUAAAUUUUUGCCAUAAUUCUUGCAGCGAAAAAAAGGCCACGAGUUGAGGGAACCAAAACUACUGAUGAGUGUGAGCAUAAUGAAACUACGACUGAUAGUGUGAACAACCAACUUAUUGGUGCUGAUCCAAAAAAAAAGGGGCUCAUGGCGAGUACUGGACUCCAGACCCGCCAGACAUUAUGAGUUCUUUAUCUUAGAAUUGUCGUGGGCUUGGGAACCCACAGAUAAUUAAGGAAUUGAAGGACAUGGUUUUUUAUAAGUAGCCCAGUCUCAUUCUCCAUCAAGAAGCGAAGACAGGUUGGUCAACACUUAACUAAAUCAGGCCCAACUAAAUUACAAAGGUUUGCUUGUUGUUGAUCCUGUAGGCUCCAGUGGGGGUCUAGCUCUACUUUGGAAGAGAAAAAAAAACUCAUGCUCACUCAUUAGCUACCACAAAUACCUUAUUGAUGUGGAGGUUCAUUUACCAGGUAUUCCUCCGCUUUACAGGUUUUCACGGCUAUCCAGGAUCGCACCAAAGACGUUACUCUUGGAAUUUAUUAAAAUCACUCAAAGAUAGGUCUCAGCUCCUAUGGUGUAUCGUUGGUGACUUCAAUGAUAUACUUGACUAUGGUGAUAAAUUGGGUCGUAUACAACAACCAGAAGGGAGGAUAAAUGGGUUUAGAGAAGCGGUGAAUUUUUGUAAUCUUUUUGAUCUUGGCUAUGUUGGCAACUGGUUCACGUGGGAACGUUGCAGGAAUACACAUAAUUGGGUAAUAGAACGGUUAGACCGUGCACUGGUCAAUAAAGAUUGGCAAUUCUAUUUCCCGAAUGUAAAAGUAGAUCACAUUGAAUCUGCCUCUUUUGGUCACAUAGGCAUUUUUUUAAAUUUGGGACUGAAAGUUAUUUGUUA